rnacentral:lncRNA from 1 species
GGCAGUGGAAAGCGGGCGGACCGACAUCCUUUCCACCGAGCCAGCGAAGAUUCGGGGCGCAUCAAUGGCCAACGACCCGCGGGCCCGGCCGCUGUAACCCGCUGCUAUACCAGGGACUGCUAUCGUUGAAGACCGGAUGGCCACAGAUAUCAUCACCUCCUGCAUGAAGAAACGGAGCCCGUCCACCUGGAUGUUUCAAUGCAGAACCUCGUAAUGGCCGCUGAUCGCAUGACGUUCAUUGCGUCUCGUGAGAAAGCUUGCUCCUCCCAUCGGGAGAGAGGAAG